rnacentral:tRNA from 1 species
UAGAGUUCUUGUAGUUGAGUUA